CCACACUGUGAUAAACCCUGUUACAAAAACCUCAGUGACCCACAGCUUCCUGCACUGGAAACAUAUCGUCAGCAGUGGGUCACUUCACCUGCUCUGGCAACCGAGCUGUCUUCAAUCUACAAAUCACCUUGCAGUGUAUCUGUCAGCCUGUUGGGAAUGUGUGUGUGAAUGUAAUGUGUGUUUCAGGUUUGCGGUGACUAGUGUGCUGUGACAUUUAUUGACUACUGUGUCAUUUAUGUGAUUGCUGUGAUCUUGUAUGUUCACUGUGUAUUGCGUGAUCUUUUACUAUAGUGUGCACCGUGUGAGUUACAUGGACUACUGUUCCCCACACAGACGUCCUAUUGGACUAACAAAUCCCUCUAUCGCUUUCACCGGGACUAAUUACCUGGACAAUUAGUAACCAACCCAUCUACGGGAUCGAGGGGCAAAGAGGAGGAGUAUAAAAAAGAGGAAGCUGCUGACUUAUGGGAACACGGCCGGGACAACGAGACGGUGGCGAACGGACCGACCGACGGACCGACCUCCGUCGUGAGGGGGCAUCGGCCACGACGUCACACCACGUUCUCCACGUUCCACACUGAACAGAGCACGGCCGGAUUGACUGCAAAUAGAUCCCAGCUGUCUGACAGCUCGUGACUGGACUUUCCUGGUGGACGUUUAACUUAUUGGAAGACUGCUUUUAAAAUAUAAAGAAUCGUCAAUGUUUUGAUACUAAAUAAAAGUAUUUUUAUGCAUA